rnacentral:lncRNA from 1 species
AUCAAUAGUAAAUGAGACUACUUUCUUUUUUUUUUUUUUUUUUUGAGACGGAGUCUCGCUCUGUCGCCCAGGCUGGAGUGCAGUGGCGGGAUCUCGGCUCACUGCAAGCUCCGCCUCCCGGGUUCACGCCAUUCUCCUGCCUCAGCCUCCCAAGUAGCUGGGACUACAGGCGCCCGCCACCACGCCCGGCUAAUUUUUUGUAUUUUUAGUAGAGACAGGGUUUCACCGUUUUAGCCGGGAUAGUCUCGAUCUCCUGACCUCGUGAUCCACCUGCCUCGGCCUCCCAAAGUGCUGGGAUUACAGGCGUGAGCCACCGCGCCCGGCCGAGAUUACUUUCUUGAUUACCUUUUCAGAUUGUUUGCUGUCACCAUGUAGAAAUGCUACUGAUUGUUGUAUGUUGAUUUUGUAUCUUGCAACUUAACUGAAUUCAUUUAUCACUCCUAAUAGUUAUUUGUUGGAGUCUUUAGGUUUUUCCAAAUAUAAGAUUGUAUCAUCUGCCAACAGGGAUAAUUUGACUUCUUCCUUUCCAAUUCAGAUGCCUUUUUUUUUCUUUCUCUUGUCUGAUUGCCCUCGCUAGGACUUUCAGUAUUAUGCUGAAUAACUAGUGAAAGUGAGCAUCCUUGUCUUGUUCCAGAUCUUGAAGGAAAGGCUUUCAGUUUUUCCUCAUUUGGUGUGAUACUAGCUGUGGGUCUGUUUAUGUGGCUUUUAUUUUGUUUAUGAAUGUUCCUUCUAUACCCAGUUUUUAUCAUGAAGGGUGGUGAAUUUUAUCAAAGGCCUUUUCAUCAUCAACUGAAAUUAUCAUAUAUUUUAUAUCCUUCAUUCUGUUGAUAUGACAUAUCACAUUGAUUAGUUUGCAUACGAUGAACAAUCCUUGCAUCCCUGGGAUAAACCCCAUUUGGUCUUAAAUAAUAUUUUAAUGUGUUUUUUUUAAUCCAUUCAGCCACUCUAUGUCUUUUGAUUAGAGAAUUUAGUCCAUUUAGAUUCAAUGUUAUUAUUGAUAAGUGAAGACUUACUCCUGCCAUUUUGUUUGUUGUUUUUUGUGAUCUUCUCUUCCUUCUUUCGUUCUUUCUUGUCUUCCUUUUAGUGAAGGUGAUCUUCUCUGGUGGUAUGUUUUAAUGUCUUGCUUUUAAUUUUUUAUGUAUCUGCUGUAUGUUAUUUUAUUUGAGGUUACCAUCAGGUGUGCAAAUGAUAUCAUAUAACUCAUUUUUAAACUGAUGGCAACUUAAUGCUGAUUACAUACACAAACAAGCAAAGGGAAAACUAAUACAAACUCUACACUUUAACUUCAGCUCCCUACUUUUUAUAUCUGUAUCUGUUUAUAUCUUAUUAGACUGUGUCUUGAACAGUUAUUGUAGUUAUUAUUUUUUAUAGGUUCAUUUUUUAGCCUUUCUACUCAAGAUAUGAGUAAGUUAUACACCACAAUUACAGUGUUGUAAUAUUCUGUGUUUUUCUGAGUACUUAUUAUUACCAGUGAGUUUUGUACCUUCAGAUGAUUUCUUAUUGUUCAUUAACAUCAUUUUCUUUCUGAUUAAAGAACUCCCUUUAGCAUUUCUUGUCUAGACAGGUCUGGUGUUGAAUAAAUCCCUCAGCUUUUGUUCAUCUGAGAAAGUAUUUAUUUCUCCUUCAUGUUUGAAGGAUAUUUUCAUUGGAUAUUCUAUUUUAGGAUAAAAAGUGUUUUUCUUUCAGCACUUUAAAUAUGUCACGCUACUCUCUUCAGACCUGUAAAGUUUCCACUGAGAAGUCUGCUUCCAGACAUGUUGGAGCUCCUUUGUAUGUUAUUUGUUCCUUUUCUCUUGCUCCUUUUAGGAUCCUUUCUUUAUCCUUGACUUUUGGGAAUUUGAUUGUUAAAUAUCUUGAGGUAGUCUUAUUUGAGUUAAAUAUGCUUGGUGUCCCACAACAUUCUCGUACUUGAAUACUGAUAUCUUUCUUUAGGCUUGGGAAAUUCUGUGUUAUUACCCUUUUAAAUAAACUUUCUACUCUAAUCUCUCUGUCUACCUCCUAUUUAAGGCCAAUAACUCUUGGAUUUACCCUUUUAAGGCUAUUUUGUAGGUCUUGUGGGCAUGCUUCAUUCUUUUUUCUUUUGUCUCCUCUGAGUGUGUGUAUUUCAAAUAGCCUGUCUUCAAGCUCACUAAUUCUUCCUUCUGCUUGAUCAAUUUUGCUAUUAAGAGACUGUGAUUCAUUCUUCAGUAUGUGCUGCUGGUGGGGGAGGGGAAGAGUGGUGCAGGCAAUUCAAGACUCUCUUUCCUACCUUCUUCAGUGCCUCUUUCCUUAAUAUAAUGUUAAAACCAAAUAGUGUGGUCGCUCACCUGGUUUUUAGUUCUUAUGAAGGUGCUUUGUUUUGUGAAUAGUUGUUCAAUUUGGUGUUCCUGUAGGGAUGGGGGAGGGGGGGAUGAUUUCUGGAGGCUUUUGUUUGGCUAUCUUGUUCCACCUCCUCCUUACAUUUUAUCAUUUUUUAACCUUUUAAGUUUUAUUAGAGACAAACUCUCACUAUCUUGCCCAGGCUAGCCUUGAACUUCUGACCUCAAGUGAUCCUCCCACCUCAGCCUCUCCAAUAGCUGGGACUGCAGGCACACACCACCACACCCAGCUUCUAGUCCUGUUCUUUAUGCCAAGAUUUAGUGUCAUUUCUUCAACUGCCUGGAUGUCAUUUUACAGGCACCCCACCUGCCGUCUUCACCACAACACAUUUAAAACCACAAUCGCCUUUAUCUAGGAUCAUUUCCAGAUAGUGGCCAGUCUCAUAAGGAAGAUGAGAAUUCACAGAAUAUUACAGAAAUUCAUCAGUGAUUAAGCUUUGUUUACAAAAAAAAAAGUGAUAUGACAGAAUCAGAGAGUUCCCUAGGCUCCAGUCAUCAGAGAUUUUAAGGCAAAGGCUACACAUAUUCUAUAAUUAAACCAGAGAUAGAUGGGAGUGGCUGUCAGGAAAUCUGGUCCACAGUAAAACAGCAGAACAAAAGCUGAUGUCUGUUAAUUAAGGCAAAGUAUUGGGACGAGAAAACUUACAAGGGUUCUAUUGCAGCAACAGAGAAGGAUCUGCUUACUGAAGAAGGUUUUAGAGCUGUCUAAUUAGAUCCUAUGUUUAUUGUAAAAACCCCCAGGCUUUCAAGAGCCUCCGCAAGUCCAAGUCCCCUUAAGCAAGGACUACUUUUCCAAUAAGGAGGCUCUGGUAUCUAGUCCACCCCCAUGGAGAGAUAAUGAGGUUCUGCCUAGGGAAGGGCAAAAAGAAGAAUGAUCUGACUGUAUCUCGGGCCCCAAGAAUUUAGUAGGCUGGUUCUCCCUCCACAGGCAUGACAGAGCAUGUUUGCCCUCAUCUCUGGGACAAGCAUCAAAACCUUUGAUGCUAUUCCCUGCUUUCCAGGCAGACUUGAGGGUAUCUGGCAGUCUGAAUCUGCAGACAAGCAGAUUAGUGAUAGUGUAGUAAGCGUCCUAAAGUGAAAAUCACAGUAAAGAUAGCAUGCUGUCUUUGGAAAGGCAUGGAAGGAUAGACAAUGGUGAGGGGAGUGGAAAUAAGGAGUGGCAGUGAGGGAAGGAUAUUAAUCUUACUUAUUUAAUCUUUAUUUUGAAAUGGUUUCAUCUGUUACACAGAAUAGGUACACUUUGUGUAGGAGAUAGAUGCUGACCAUAUUUGGUUAUCACCUCCUCUUGGAAGCCUCCCAUGAUUCCUCUAUAUGGAGUCAGGUGUCCUUUCUCUCUUUUUCCAAUGCAUUUUAUUUAUCUCUGUAUUAUAUCACUAAUCAAAUUCGACUGUAUUUAUUGGUUCACCCUUGUCCAUCCCUCCCACUACACUAAGCUCCUCAAGAGUUGGGAAUGAUGAGGGCAUGUACUGUGACUGGCACACAGAAUGCUCUAAUACAAAUUAAUUGAUGGAUUGACUGAAGAUAACAACCCCUCACUCAAUACCCUACUUCAGAGAUUGGCAACCUUUUUCUAUAAAGGGCCAGAUAGUAAAUAUCUUAGGCUCUGCAGACCAUACGGUUUGUACAACUACUCUACUGUGUCAUUGUGGCAUAGAAGCAGCCAUAGGCUGCUUACAUUCAUAAAAUGUAAAUGAAUAGGUGUAGCUACAUUUCAUUAAACUUUAUUUACAGGUACUGAAAUUUAAAUUUCACAUAAUUUCCACGGGUCACAAAAUAUAAUUUCUUCUUUUGAUUUUUUUUCAAUGAUUUCAAAAUGUAAAAUCCAUUCUUAGUUCACACCCUGUACAAAAAGAGGCAGCAGGCCAAAUUAGCCCAGGGGUCAUAGUUGGAGGAUACCUACCUUCCCUGAAAGGCAUGGCUGGUAACCAAGGAAAUUCUACUUAAAGGGAUGAUUAUUCACAUCAUAUAAUAGGUACUGAGUAACUUUGGGUAUGUCCCAAACUUUCAACAACUAUGAAAAUUGAGGUAGUAUCACAGAAUUUUGUAAAGAAGAAAUUAUAUAAGGAACCAUAUCAUCAUUGAAAGUUAUGUAAUUUCAUUUGUGAGGAACAUGAAAGCCUGUUGAUAAUAACAGUAACUAAUAUUUGUUGAGUACUUCUUAUGACUAGACUUUGUUCUGUGAUUCUUCAAUGAAUGAAUCCACUUAAAUAUCACAACCAUCCUGAGAAGUAGGUUCUAUUGUUAUCCAACUUAAUAACUAAAGUAUGAAUAAAUUCCCUAAACCUCAAAAUUAAAAAUUGGUAAGGGUGUGGUUUUUGAGCCAGGCAGUCCAACUCCAGAGUAUGUUCGCUAACCACUAAAUAUACCACCUCUUAAGAGAAUAACAAAAGUAAACUUUCAAAUAUUUCUCUAAGCUUUCUCUUUCCCGUUCUCAAGACUAGAAGAGUGAGCUGAAUGAGAAUGACUGGCAAGGACUGCAAUGUGAAUUACAACCUCACCUAGAAACUAGAUAUCUAUGAAGAUGGAAAUCUAAAUUACCAGCUGGCAAGCUGUGGUGAUGUGGCCCCUGUUUAACCUAGGAGAUUUUGAUAGGCAUACAGACACAUGGGCCUAUCCAGAAAGGAGCUAGUCUUCACAACUAGAUCAUCAUCUGUUUGGGAGCUCAUGCAUGCUAUUAAGUAAGUGAGUUUACUGUGUGUCUUAGUCCAUUUGGGAUGAUAUAACAAAAUACAUAAACUGUAUGUAUUAACAUACAAACAAUAAAAAUUUAUUUCCCACAGUUCUGAAGGCUGGGAAGUCAUUAAAAAGUGAGCAAGAUCUGGAUGGACAGAGAUGUACCCAUUAGGCCUGCUGAGCCACCAGAGAGUGAUGAAGUAUUUGAUUCUUCCACUAUGAAGCAGUAAGAGAGCUAACGCCACAGAAUAUUGGCCAAUAUAGCAAGUAUAGGAACUAAUGAAUUCAGAAAGCAUUGAGGACUUCCUCUGGUGAAUGGUGUAAAAGAAAGGUACCAGUUCAGAGGUGGUGCAGCAUCUUUCUGCAGGUCCCUUUGGAUGCCGUGAAAGGAUGUAAUAAAGCAUAAGAAUUUUACAUAGCUCAAACAUACAAAAAUUUUUCUGGCCCAGCUCAUUACCUGCAUCCACAGAAUUGAAGUAGUUCUACCCCAGGGUAAACAAUGUACUUUUUAGGGUCAUGAAGUGGUUCUGAGGACCCACUGACAAGUAUCAAAAGAUCCGUAUAUACCCGAGAUUGGUAUGAAUAUUCAUGUGCAUGUUUCUGGGGAAGCAAUUCAUUGCAUUCAUCAGAAACUUGAAAGUUCAAAAGUUGAAAGGUCCUUGUAAGCUAAGUGGUAUCACUACAUUUUCAAGUACGUUAUCAAACAGGCAUUUUCAACAUUUGACCACCUGAGUGCAAACUGGAUUGUAAGUUUUUGAGUAGCUCAGUUUAAAUCAAUCUAGGCUUGACCAGAGGUAACCUAGGAAACUCAGAGAUAUCAACCCAUUCCUCCCCAAUCGAGAAAGAGAGAGAGAGAGGGAGAGAGAGGAAAGAAUAUGUAUGUUACACCCAGAUUAUUUCUGUAGUCUAUUCACUUUCCCACUUUCCUUGAGAGCUGUGUUACAUCUGUUUUCUCUGUCUCUAUCAGCCAAUUCUCCUGCUUCCUACUUCACUGAGAAAACUAAAGUUAUCAGGAGAAAAAUUCCACAGAUUCUCACCUUCUCAUCUACCCACCACUGGGUACUGACACUCAAAUUCACUUUUCCCACCUGUUACUGUUUUCCUCCUCAGCACUGGAUUCCAUUUUUUCUCAAGGAUAUCACUCAGCAAAUCUCUUCCAUCUUUCAUUCAAACAUCACUUUCUCCUUUCUUUUGGAUCAUUUCCAUUAACACACAAAACAAGCUACAAGCUAUUAUUUAUCCUAUCCUAAAAUACCCCCCCACACACACACACACAAUUUUGCCCCACUUUUCCAUUCCUGCAUCUACUUCCAGAAAGCCCAACAUAUAACAAUGUCCAAAACUAAAUUUCUGGGAUUUAUUGCUCAAAUCCACUCUCCUUCUCCAUCUCUCAUUUCUGUUGAUAGUAACUGCAUCCUCCCAGUUUCUAGGGCUAAAAACUUUAGAAUCAUCCCCGACUUUUCGUCUUACACCCAUGUUCAAUCUGUUAGGAAAUCUCACAACAGAUUCCUACUUAUCAUUCAAGGUUCUAAUUAAGUUCCUAUAUUUCUUCUUGAAGCUUUCCAGAAUAUUUCUGACUUCACAGGGCUCUCUCUUUUUCUACAUAUCUCUGCUGGCACUUCAGUUGUGUGUUGUAAUGCUUGUAAAUAUUAUCUUUUCUAACUCACUACAAAUAUGAAUUAUAACUCAGACUGUCUGCCUCCUACAGGACUAAACACACUAAUGUGUAUUUAGUAAAGAAUCCAUAAACAUCACUCUAAGUGCUUGUUUUUGCUG